GACGAACGCUGGCGGCGUGCUUAACACAUGCAAGUCGAACGGAAAGGCCCUGCUUUUGUGGGGUGCUCGAGUGGCGAACGGGUGAGUAACACGCGAGUAACAUGCCCUUGACUUUGGGAUAACUCCAGGAAACUGGGGCUAAUACCGGAUAGGAUCUACUGCUGCAUGGUGGGGGUUGGAAAGUUUCGGCGGUUGUGGAUGGAUUCGCGGCUUAUCAGCUUGUUGGGCGGGUAGGGGCUUACCAAGGCUUUGACGGGUAGCCGGCCUGAGAGGGUGACCGGCCACAUUGGGACUGAGAUACGGCCCAGACGCCUACGGGAGGCAGCAGUGGGGAAUAUUGCGCAGUGGGCGGAAGCCUGAUGCAGCGACGCCGCGUGCGGGAUGACGGCCUUCGGGUUGUAAACCGCUUUCGCCUGUGACGAAGAGUGAGUGACGGUAACGGGUAAAGAAGCACCGGCUAACUACGUG
rnacentral:rRNA from 1 species